CAGUUUAUUUGGAAGAAGAGGAGCGUAGAAGACAUCUCUAGUUGACCAUCCACCAUGAACAGCCGCUCACACAUCCACUAUAGCACAUACAUGAAGAUCCAGCAAAACUAAACUCAAAAUGGUUAAAAGGUCUUGCCUAUUAGUUGAUAAAUAUGUGAGCCGAGACAGUGCACGUGCGUUUUUUAACAUCUUCCUUGGAGCUCAACUAGCCAGCUACACUUUAUAAAAGUUACAAAUGCUGCUGGAAAUAGUUUUGGUAGCCAAUGUCUCCUGCUGAAAAGGUACCUAUCUCACAAACUUUUCCGUAGAAGCGAUAGACUCCUCUUGCGGUUUAUUUUGAGGUUCAAUAAAAGGCGCUAGCUGUUGGUUCUUGUCAUGUCAAGUACGUCUCUUUGCUUUGAGCGAUAGACUUCGUUCGAAUUCGUUUUUUUUUAUUUUUGAGUCAUUAAAUUAAAAGCACUUGCGUCUUGUCUUGAUUUUUAGCUUAGACUUUAACAAUAAACUCGUUAGAAAACACGUUCAUUUGCGUACUGGGUCUUUGAUUAUUUUUACUUUAGCUUUACAAUGUCUUGUGCCUUGAUUUUGUAGCAAAAUGACUCAAAUAAUUAAACGCGUUUUAUUGUUUAUUGAAGUUAUUUUUUAGAUUAAAUUGUGUCUUUUGUCGUUUUUUCGGCAGUAGCACAAAUGAAUAAAGGCUCUGAAAUCAUUUCA